rnacentral:rRNA from 1 species
GUGAGGAAUAUUGGGCAAUGGGCGCAAGCCUGACCCAGCAACGCCGCGUGGAGGAAGACGGCCUUCGGGUUGUAAACUCCUUUUACGGGGGAAGAGGAAGGACGGUACCCCGUGAAUAAGUCACGGCUAACUACGUGCCAGCAGCCGCGGUAAUACGUAGGUGACAAGCGUUAUCCGGAAUUACUGGGCGUAAAGCGCACGCAGGCGGCGCGGUAAGUCUGAUGUGAAAUCUCCCGGCUUAACUGGGAGGGGUCAUUGGAAACUGUCGUGCUUGAGGCGGUGAGAGGGGUGUAGAAUUCCCGGUGUAGUGGUGGAAUGCGUAGAUAUCGGGAGGAAUACCAGUGGCGAAAGCGGCACCCUGGCACUAGCCUGACGCUCAUGUGCGAAGGCGUGGGGAGCGAACGGGAUUAGAAACCCCAGUAGUCC